rnacentral:rRNA from 1 species
GUAGUCUCGCACAGAUGCAUAUCAAUAAGCGGAGGAAAAGAAACUAACUAGGAUUCCCUCAGUAACGGCGAGUGAAGCGGGAAGAGCUCAAAUUUGAAAUCUUCAAGGUUCUACCUUGACGAAUUGUAGUUUAAAGAAGUGUUUUCUGUUGGAGUUUUGGUAAAAGUUCUUUGGAAUAGGACAUCAUAGAGGGUGAGAAUCCCGUAUUUGACCAUUAUUUCCAGCUUUGUGAUACACUUUCAAAGAGUCGGAUUGUUUGGGAAUGCAGUCCAAAAUGGGUGGUAAAUUUCAUCUAAAGCUAAAUACUGGCGAGAGACCGAUAGCGAACAAGUACCGUGAGGGAAAGAUGAAAAGAACUUUGAAAAGAGAGUUAAACAGUACGUGAAAUUGUCAAAAGGGAAGCGUUUGACACCAGUGUUGUUUUUCUGAAAAUCAAUUAAAGAACUGUUUAUGCUAAGCUGUUUAGACUUUAUCAGCUAUCUGUUUAGUUUUGAGCUUUUCUUUAAUGCACUUUUCAGUUAACAAGUCAACAUCAAUUUCUUUUGCUGUAAAAAAGCUUGAGGAAGGUGGCUUGAGAUUCGUCUUAAGUGUUUAUAGCCUCUUGCCUAUGCAGUCGGAGAGAUUGAGGUCUGCAGCGUAGAUCCUUCGGGGCUAAAUGCAUUUGUGCUAAGUUAUAACAUUUUAUAGACAACUUGUUGACUAUGAUUUGUCUUGUAGCUUACUCGCUUAUGUUAUUUUACCUACGCUUAGGAUGUUGAUCUGUAGUGCGUGCGC